rnacentral:tRNA from 1 species
UCCUCUGUAGUUCAGUCGGUAGAACGGCGGACUGUUAAUCCGUAUGUGACUGGUUCGAGUCCAGUCAGAGGAGCCA